rnacentral:tRNA from 1 species
GUGCGCGUAGCCCAACUUGGUAAGAGGCGGUUGGCUUAAACCCAAUCUGUUGAGAGUUCAAAUCUCUCCGCGCACA